UACGUAGGUGGCAAGCGUUGUCCGGAUUUACUGGGUGUAAAGGGCGUGUAGCCGGGUGUGUAAGUCAGAUGUGAAAUCUGGAGGCUCAACCUCCAAACUGCAUUUGAAACUGCGCAUCUUGAGUAUCGGAGAGGUAAUCGGAAUUCCUAGUGUAGCGGUGAAAUGCGUAGAUAUUAGGAAGAACACCAGUGGCGAAGGCGGAUUACUGGACGACAACUGACGGUGAGGCGCGAAAGCGUGGGGAGCAAACAGG
rnacentral:rRNA from 1 species